AUUGAACGCUGGCGGCAGGCCUAACACAUGCAAGUCGAACGAGUGGCGGACGGGUGCGUAAUGUCUGGGAAACUGCCCGAUGGAGGGGGAUAACUACUGGAAACGGUAGCUAAUACCGCAUACCAUCGGAUGUGCCCAUAUGGGAUUAGCUAGUAGGUGGGGUAAAGGCUCACCUAGGCGACGAUCCCUAGCUGGUCUGAGAGGAUGACCAGCCACACUGGAACUGGGACACGGUCCAGACUCCUACGGGAGGCAGCAGUGGGGAAUAGUGCACAAGGGGCGCAAGCCUGAGGCAGCCAUGCCGAGUGUGUGAAGAAGGCCUUCGGGUUGUAAAGAACUGUCAGCGGGGGGGCGUUACCCGCAGAAGAAGCACCGGCUAACUCCGUGCCAGCAGCCGCGGUAAUUC
rnacentral:rRNA from 1 species